UAAGAGGAGAAAAUGGAUUGCAAUGAUGCAUCUUCUCAAAAUAGAAUGAAAAAUCGCAGUUAAAGUAGCAUUGAGCUUCUGGAAAGAAGUGAUGCUGAAAUUCAUUUACUACAGGUUUAAGACUUGAUUGCAGCAAAGAGUGGAAUACCAAUCAGUAGAAGGUUGUUCUGGAUGAUCACCUUCCCAUAGCAACUUGCUGUAGCUGAAUACAGGAAUAAAAGAAUCUGUAAGAUUGUCACCCAAUACCCUCCUGCCUCCACCUCACCAAGAGUGACACUCACUGUCCUGCUUUGCCUAUGCUUUAUUCAGAAGCUCACAGUCUGUUAACAAUGGCAGUUCUGCAGCAGACACUGUGGAAAGAACAACCUGGGGAAGGACUAAAAGAGUUUAUCUGACUCUCACAAGCAGUGGACUAUUGAAAGAAUCAUCUGAAUUUGUUUGCAAGUGAUGUACUGAGAAAAGACACAGCUUUAAGUAACUUUGGAUGUGUUCAAAAGUUCAAAAUUGGAGUAAACCAGCUGUAUCUACAAAAUAACAGAAGCCUUUGCUCAUGAUUACAAUGAAUGUUUCAAGUUUUUGGCUCUGAAGCACAAAUGAUGCCAGGUACUUUGACUGCAAAGCACUGGAGUAUUUAAACUGGUAACUUUUUCAAGCAGUAGCUUCUUGUUGAUGUAUUUUAAUGAAAAAAGAUUUAUGCAAAAACCACAAAAUUGCAUGAUGUUCUUAGAAAAAGACAUCUGACUACAAAUGCUGCUGUCAGGCUGCUCAAAUGCCUGUAAAACCCACUGAAGUAAGGAAAUAAUAAUGAAAAAUAACAAUGUAGACCUUGUGCAGAUCAAAUUUAUACAAAUUCUCAGUUCUUUUCUGCACAGAGAAUUUAUAGAUUCUAAGUAAGUAAGAAGAAAAAGUAAGAAGAAAAGUAAGAUAAGUAAGAAGAAAAAAAAUGCAGAACAGAAAAAAGGAAUUUGAGCAUCCACAUUUAUUACAAAUAUAGUUAUGCUGUACAAGAUAUGAGUAUCAGAGAAGUGAGAUAAAUAUCAACACAUUUCAUAGGGGAUUUUAUGAUCUGGAAGUGCUCUGAGAGCCAUUAAAUUGGUUGACUGAUGCUUGGCUUCUUAAUGAGAAGCAAACCAUAACAGCCAAGCUUCAGACAUUUCACAAAACAUAAAAAGGAUAACUUUUUUUUACCCUAAAGAGCUAAGUAAAAAAUGCUAAAAAGAAUACUGAAGUGUGAUGACUAUGUUUAAAAUGAGAUUAUAUACUAAAACUGUUAGGAAAAAAUAGAAAAGAAAAUAGUAUUAUUUGCUAUAUCAGAAGUGAAAAAGGAAAGGAAGAUUAUAAAAAGAGAUGGAAUGAUAAAAGAUAAUAGAAUAUCAAACCAAGUCAAAGGUACCUUGUUCUUUCAUCUGGAAGCUUCUUUGGCUUUCCAGAUUAUUUCUGAUUUAAGAUGCUGAAGCAGUGGGGUCUUUUUUAAAUUACAUUUUAUUCUUCUCACACGUGAACUGAUGAUGUUGUCCUCUCAGAUUUCAGUUGUCAUUAUUUUGUCUUGCAUCAUGUAUAUUUCUGA